rnacentral:rRNA from 1 species
UACGGGGGGAGCAAGCGUUGUUCGGAUUUACUGGGCGUAACGGGCGCGUAGGCGGUCAGCACAAGUCAGUUGUGAAAUCUCCGGGCUUAACUCGGAAAGGUCAACUGAUACUGUGCGGCUAGAGUGCGGAAGGGGCAACUGGAAUUCUUGGUGUAGCGGUGAAAUGCGUAGAUAUCAAGAGGAACACCUGCGGCGAAGGCGGGUUGCUGGGCCGACACUGACGCUGAUGCGCGAAAGCCAGGGGAGCGAACGGG